rnacentral:rRNA from 1 species
AUUGAACGCUGGCGGCAGGCCUAACACAUGCAAGUCGAGCGGAGCGGCGGACGGGUGAGUAAUGCCUAGGAAUCUGCCUGGUAGUGGGUGAUAACGUCCGGAAACGGGCGCUAAUACCGCAUACUAUCAGAUGAGCCUAGGUCGGAUUAGCUAGUUGGUGGGGUAAAGGCCUACCAGUGCGACGAUCCGUACCUGGUCUGAGAGGAUGAUCAGUCACACUGGAACUGAGACACGGUCCAGACUCCUACGGGAGGCGGAAGUGGGGAAUAUUUGACAAUGGGCGAAAGCCUGAGCCAGCCAAGCCGCGUGUGUGAAGAGGGUCUUCGGAUUGUAAAGCACUUUAAGUUGGGAGGCGUUACCAACAGAAUAAGCACCGGCUAACUUCGUGCCAGCAGCCGCGGUAAUUC